rnacentral:lncRNA from 10 species
CUUCUGGCUGCGGUUAAAAGGGCUCACCAGCCUCUCCCUGAAGUCUUGGCCCGGGAGCCUGUGUCCUCCAGGUAGCUGUGCUGUGGGGAGCUGGAGAGGACUGAAGAGCUGAGGAGGCGAAAUGCAGAAAUGAUAAUGCCUCACAAGCUGGUUGUACAGAUUGAAUAACAAUGUGAACAGAGCACCGAGUAUAAUCCCUGAAACAGCAAACCAGAGGUCCCGUCUGGCUGGCAUGAAUGGAAGGGCAAACGCUCCGACCAAAUUGCUCUGGGAAUGUCAUUCUAAUUAUUGGAUCCUGACCCAGCAGCAUGCUGAUAAGCUCUGGGUUGGAGACGCCCUAUCUCAGAGGAGCUCCAAACCUGCUCAAGGCCUUUUCUUGCCCUCUGCAACUUUCCUGCCAAGCAAUUAGCCUCCAGGGGUAUCUGAGAGCGGGAGACUGGGAGGAGCGGGGUCCCUCGGGGUUGAAGUGGGGAGGGCUAACGGGCUGGGGAUGCCCCCUGUUGUGUUUCCAGGGAAAGCCUGUCCAGAUUGCCGUUGCCUUCUUUACCUUCAGUGUCAGAGUUGGGGUCCAGCCUGUAUUGUGGGGAGUAGGAAAAGCUUUUCUUGUUGAGCCCUGGGCUUCUGUUAGGGGUUGAAUUAUGUCCCUCCCCACACUCCACAUUCAUAUGUUGAAGCCCUAACCCCUAGUUCCUCAGAAUGUAACUGUAUUUGGAGAUACAGUCUUUAAAGAGGUCAUUACAUUAAAAUGAGGUCACUGGGGUGG